ensembl:lncRNA
GUUUAGGAAGAAUCUCAGAAGUGUGGGGACCGGCCAUGUCAUGGGAUUUCACUCUUGAACACCUGUGGGAUCCUGAGAAACUGAGCCAGCAUUUGAGUCAGGGAUGGUGCGGCUUAGACAGAUCAAAGGAGGUACGGCUUAUUUGGGGCUUGGCUUGUGCCUACCGCGCUCUGUAUAAUACUGUUCUGGAGAGAGGGAGUUUCCAAGCUGAGGCGCAAGCCAAAGGGGGAAAUCUUCAAGUCAAACCUGAUCAGUCACAGCAGACACCAGUAACAGUGUCAGUAGCCCCUGUAGAAGGCAAGAAAUGGAAGCGGGUAUCCUCGCGUCUAGAACGAAAAAAAGAAGAAGAAGAAGAAGAAAUGGAGGAGGAGGUGGUAGAGGAAGAUCCAGGUGAGGGGACUUCCUCAGAACCAAGAAAAGCAAAAGCAAAAACUAAGAGGCAUGAAGAGGACAGCGAUGAAGAGGAGAUCACUAUUACUGUUCAUCGACCUCUCAAGAUCUCUGAG